GCCUGGCUGGCUCUAUUGGUGGAGCAUGUCACUUCUGAUCUCAGAGUCAUGGGUUCAAGCCCAUGCUGGGUG
rnacentral:tRNA from 1 species